GGAGGCGUCCGGCGGUAGCUGCCUUCUGCGCUGGGUGUGCGAGGGGUUUCUCAUCACCUGGGAGGGAUGCUCGCCUCCUCUGCCCGGACGCAGGGCGCCCUGAGCUGUGCGCCCACGUCCCGAUGGCCGGAUCCUCCCUUCCCCUCGGCCCUCGCCCCCGCCUUGCCACAGCCAGGGGGAAGGCGGGCGUCGCCCCGCCUCGCCAAGUAGGUAUCGGCCUGGCCGCCUCCGCCCCGCCCGGGCGACACAGACCAGCAGCCGCGGAGGCGCCUCGCCGCCGGCCCCGCUCCCAGGCAGGGUGCAGUGGCUCAUGCCUAUAACCCCAGCACUUUGGGAAGCGGAGGCAGGUGGAUCACCUGAGGUCAGGAAUUUGAGACCAGCCUGACCAACGUGAAGAAAACCAGUCUCUACUAAAAAUACAAAAUUAGCUAGGCGUGGUGGUGCAUGCCUGUAAUCCCAGCUACUCGGGAGGCUGAGGCAGGAGAACCACUUGAACCCUGGAGGAAGAGGUUGCUGUGUGCCGAGAUUGUGCUGGUACACUCCAGCCUGGGAAACAAGAGUGAAACUUCAUCUCAAAAAAAAAAUGAUCUUUCUAAGACAUCAGAAAGAGCGAGGAAGCCAGCUGUGUCUGGAUAAGGAGAGUAGUGAGAGAAGAUUUUAGAUGGCACCGAAAACGAAGAAGGAAGCUCCUGCCCCUCCUAAAGCCAAAGCCAAAGCGAAGGCUUUAAAGGCCAAGAAGGCAACGUUGAAAGGUGUCCACAGCCACAAAAAAAAGAAGAUCCACACUUCACCCAUCUUCCGGCUGCCCAAGAUACUGUGACUCUGGAGGCAGCCAAAAUAUCCUCGGAAGAGCACCCCGGGAGAAACAAGCUUGACCACUAUGCUGUCAUCAAGUUUCCGCUGACACUGAGUCCGCCACGAAGAAGGCAGAAGACAACAACACACUUGUGUUCAUUGUGGAUGUUAAAGCCAACAAGCACCAGAUCAAACAGGCUGUGACACUGAUGUGGCCAAAGUCAGCACCCUGAUUCGGCCUGAUGGAGAAAAGAAAUCAUAUGUUCCACUGGCUCCUGAUUACUAUGCUUUGGAUGUUGCCAACAAAAUUGGGAUCAUCUAAACUGAGUCCAGCUGGCUAAUUCUAAAUAUAUAUAUGUCUUUUCACCAUAAAAAGAAAUUCAAACUUCUGUUCCUCAUGUUUGUAAAUUUCAACCAAUAGCCCGUUAUUUGUUCCUUUCUCUUUUCUUCUUUACCUGUCAAAGCUUCAUCACUGGGCACUCUGACUCUUUUUAGUAUUAUUUCUAUUUCAGGACAGUUUGAUAAAAAUUUCAUCAUUAGGAUUGAAUUAUUCUUGUACAGCAUGUAAAUUAUAAUUUAACAAAGCCUGCAUUUAACCUAACACAAUUUAUACACUAUUAAGUCCCAGCCUAGGAGAAAAUAAAGAGAUGGUGACAUUUGUUUCUGAUG